GGUGAACGCUGGCGGUAGGCCUAGCACAUGCAAGUCGAACGGCAGCACAGUAAGAGCUUGCUCUUACGGGUGGCGAGUGGCAGACGGGUGAGGAAUACAUCGGAAUCUACUUUUUCGUGGGGGAUAACGUAGGGAAACUUACGCUAAUACCGCAUACGACCUACGGGUGAAAGCAGGGGAUCUUCGGACCUUGCGCGAUUGAAUGAGCCGAUGUCGGAUUAGCUAGUUGGCGGGGUAAAGGCCCACCAAGGCGACGAUCCGUAGCUGGUCUGAGAGGAUGAUCAGCCACACUGGAACUGAGACACGGUCCAGACUCCUACGGGAGGCAGCAGUGGGGAAUAUUGGACAAUGGGCGCAAGCCUGAUCCAGCCAUACCGCGUGGGUGAAGAAGGCCUUCGGGUUGUAAAGCCCUUUUGUUGGGAAAGAAAAGCAGCAGGUUAAUACCCCGCUGUUCUGACGGUACCCAAAGAAUAAGCACCGGCUAACUUCGUG
rnacentral:rRNA from 1 species